rnacentral:rRNA from 1 species
GACGAACGCUGGCGGCGUGCUUAACACAUGCAAGUCGAACGGAAAGGCCCUGCUUUUGUGGGGUGCUCGAGUGGCGAACGGGUGAGUAACACGUGAGUAACCUGCCCUUGACUUUGGGAUAACUUCAGGAAACUGGGGCUAAUACCGGAUAGGAGCUCCUGCUGCAUGGUGGGGGUUGGAAAGUUUAGGCGGUUGGGGAUGGACUCGCCGCUUAUCAGCUUGUUGGUGGGGUGGUGCCUUCCCAAGGCUUGGUCGGGUGGCCGGCCUGACAGGUUGACCGUCCACGUUGAGACUGAGGUACGGCCCAGACUCCUACGGGAGGCAGCAGUGGGGAAUAUUUCACAAUGGGCUGAAGCCUGAUGCGGCAACGCCGCGUGCGGGAUGACGUCCUUCGGGUUGUAAACCGCUUUCGCCUGUGACGAAGCGUGAGUGACGGUAAUUGGUAAAGAAGCACCUGCUAACUACGUG